rnacentral:rRNA from 1 species
AUAUUGGUCAAUGGACGCAAGUCUGAACCAGCCAUGCCGCGUGAAGGAUGAAGGCGUUCUGCGUUGUAAACUUCUUUUAUUGGGGAAGAAACCUGUUUUUUCUAAGACAGACGACGGUACCCAAGGAAUAAGCACCGGCUAACUCCGUGCCAGCAGCCGCGGUAAUACGGAGGGUGCAAGCGUUAUCCGGAUUUACUGGGUUUAAAGGGUGUGUAGGCGGACUUUUAAGUCAGCGGUGAAAUCUCCGGGCUCAACCCGGAAACUGCCAGUGAUACUAUUGGUCUUGAAUAUUGUUGAGGUGGGCGGAACGGGUCAUGUAGCGGUGAAAUGCAUAGAUAUGACCCGGAACACCGAUUGCGAAGGCAGCCCACUAAGCAAUGAUUGACGCUGAGGCACGAAAGCGUGGGGAUCAAACAGG